AUGGGCUUAGUGGUUUGGAGUGCAACCUGCCUGAAAUCAGACACCUUUCAUAAUGCAAUUUCUUCCUUGGUCAAGGUAGCACUUUCCUUAACUGUACAGCUUUUGUGUGUGCCGAGCGGCCGGCUUUCUCUACAUCAGGGCCGAAAUGGGUUUUGCCGCAUCUGCCUCAUGCUGGUUUGGCAGUUUUUUGAUCUUUCUUUUUUCUUUUUUUUCAAUGGAGCAUCCCUGAGCGUGGGCAGAAGGCCACCUGGCCACCCCUUCUCCCUGGCCAGACUUUUCCCCAGCCGUCCUGGGGGAAAGGCUCAAAGGCUCCAGAGCAGAGGAUGCCUUGGCAUCACAGCAUUGUCUUGCACGGUUCCUGGGGGGGGGGGCGGCCAAAGAAAAUCUGAAAGUUCUGGGCCUCAUUUCCGUGGGAGAAAACGAUUCGACCAAGAGGCCCAGCGGGAACCUCUCCUGCGGAGGGCCCUGCUCAUCCUGCUCAGAAGCACAACACACACACAUGCAGCCCUUUUUUUGACAUAGGACGGAGAAAAAGAAAGACCCACCAACACACAAGGACAGGCCCUCGGUACCCAAGCUCACCUAACAGCUGUGGCUGAUCCCUUUUCUGGCUCCAAAAACAGUGGACAUGUAUGGAGGCCACCGCUGGGCUUCUGAGCAGUUUUCCCAGGUGUACACACACACACACACACACACACACACACACACACACACACACACUCCUCUCUCUCUUUGCACAAUCUUGAGACACACCGCCAGGUACACACACACACACACACUUCUCUCUCUUUGCACAAUCUUGAGGAAGACACGGUGCCAUCCACCUCCUGCCAGAGGUCCUCACCCCUGGACAGCAUCCUUCCUAGUCAUCUAGAAGCUCUGGGCGACCCCAUGCCAUUUCUGGGCGACCCCAGCUCUCCUGCCACCUUCCCUUGAGGAGCCCCCGGGGGGGAGGGGGGAGUUGUUUCACAGAGAGCCUCGGUGUGGAAGAAACGGGAGGCGACUCAAGGGCUCUGCCCCAUCUUGGUGGGUCUUUCCCCCAAACUGCUCCCAACAGCGAAGAAAAAGAUGCCGGCAGCACCUUUCCGCAGGGGAAGGGAGAGGCCCUUCACUUUGGGUCAGAAAGGGCCCAAAGAGCAAGGUGCGUUUUCUUUCUCUGGCUGAACCGCUCCUGUUCUCAAACACUCUCCUCGGAAGCAGGCUUUUAAAGGAAGCAUCUUCCAAACUGUUUUCCACAAACAUUAAACAAAGGCCUCAUAAACAUCCUUUUGGAACCACGAACACAGAUUUGUUUUACAAGAGAGACAUAAAUACUCCAACGUUGACGAGCCCUUGUUGAAAAGGAGCCACCCUAACAAUAUACUUCUAAUGCCAUAUAUAAAAUCGGCUUGCACUGAAAAAAGGAGGCCAGGCCAGCAAGCGAGGCGCCUCCCCAGGCUCGGGGCCUGGAGAAGGACAACCCACGCGCUCCAAACAGACCCCGAACUCCCACCAUUCCGGCAGGCCAUCGCCCGGGGACCCC
rnacentral:lncRNA from 1 species